rnacentral:misc_RNA from 1 species
AAUAGGUAAGAUUAAUUAUGUAUAGAGCCAUAAGCCAUGAUCGAUCCUUACAAUUAAUUUAGUACACCCAAGUUCAUAGUUGUACUAUACUUGCACAACUAGAGCUAGAGAUAAAAUUGUCAAGUACUGCUAGUUCCAUCUUUGAGCUGAAGAAGAUCAGUGUAGUAAUUGGAAAUCCAGCCUUGGAUUAUCUCCACCUCGGAUUUUCGUUGCAUCACCAACCAUUGUGGAUCACUUGGCUUCUCUCGUUGAAUAUCUAAGCAAUGAGAUCCAUUAACAGUGGAGAGUGCAACAAUACUAUCUGAUAUGUUCUCCAACACUCCGCCACCGCUAUAAGGAUCUCUGAGUCCAUUUGAGAAGAUGAUGUUACUAGCAAACCUAUGAAGAAUCAAUUUCAAAUCAUGGCCUCCAUAAUAGGUUUUGACCCAGUGAGGCUGAGGUAGGACACCAAACAAGCUCUUGCAUUCCUUUAUGUAGUUUUUCAAAUCGAAUGGUGCUGGUGGGAACAUAGUAUUUCUAUCAUGGCCUAUGGGCAUCACCAACUCACUACAUGUCUGCCAUCUCCAUGCAAGAGAUUCUUCUCGAGUAGGGUCAUAAAAUUCAUCCAUAUCAUAGCAUGAAUUGUUUCCCAUAUAAGCAACAACUCCAGCAAAAAUUCUGCUGAGAAUAUCAGUUCCUUUUGGUGCUCCAUCAAUUCCACCACACACAAUGGUAACGGGGUAGUUUGGUGGAUCAUUAUAUUGAGCUGCUUCAGAAUAUAUCGAGUCUAAGUAAUCCUUGAGCUCAAAAGUUCUCUUCAAUGGAGUGCAAGUCUUGAAUUUCUUGCUGAGGAUUGAAAGACCAUUUGGCUUGGAAGCUACUUCUUCAAUUUCUGCCCAUGAUUUGCGUAUGGUAUUGUAGCAACUCUCACUAGUUUCUUUAAAAUCCUUGGUCACAAUAGAAUAGUAACCAUUUUGUGGGGCAAUAUCAUCAAAGUAGAGGAUUGGAGCUGAUGAAGCCAGAGCACCAAGAGCAACAUGGGGAUAUUUUAACCUAAACCAUGAGGCUAGCAUUCCACCAUAGGAUCCACCAAUCACAAUUACAGGAGAAUUAUUCGCAGAAUACUUUUUCUUGGCAUGCAUAAUAAUAGCAGCAUAAUCUGCUAUGGCUUGAGCUGAGUUGAAAUAACCAAGAGAACUAGCAUUUCUUAGGGCUUCUUUACUCGAUCCAAAUGGUAUCGAUUUCCCAUAGUAACGAUGCUCAAUAUAAACAAGGAGAGCCUUGAAACGAGAAGCAUUAUCAAUAAGGAAACCAAUACCAUCAAUAUCAUCAUCUAUAUUCUCUUCUGCACCAAAGAAUGCAAAGAUUGGUGCACUAGUGUUUGGACCACUCCAAUAUUUAAAAUUGAUCACAUAUCUUUGCUUGAAAGUGGUAUAGCUUUCAGGCUUAUAGUUGAAGUGGUCAAGUGUUUGGGGGUAAAAAAAUGUAACAAAAUCUUUUGAAGCUGCAGAUUCAGAGUUUAUGCUACUUUGAAGUAGCUCACCUCUGCUAUGUUUCCUAAGUGCCCCAAGCCUUGGGAUCAUCUUCAAUUGAAUUGCAGAGACAUGAAGUGAGAAAAUUAGGAGCAACAUUGAGAGAAAUUGACGAAAAGGGUAUGUAAGAAUGUCCAUGGCCUUGAGUGAAUAUUUGGUAUAGCCA